rnacentral:rRNA from 1 species
AUUGAACGCUGGCGGCAUGCCUUACACAUGCAAGUCGAACGGCAGCACGGGAGCAAUCCUGGUGGCGAGUGGCGAACGGGUGAGUAAUAUAUCGGAACGUGCCCAGUCGUGGGGGAUAACGUAGAGAAAUUUACGCUAAUACCGCAUACGAUCUAAGGAUGAAAGCGGGGGGACCGUAAGGCCUCGCGCGAUUGGAGCGGCUGAUAUCAGAUUAGGUUGUUGGUGAGGUAAAAGCUCACCAAGCCGACGAUCUGUAGCUGGUUUGAGAGAACGACCAGCCACACUGGGACUGAGACACGGCCCAGACUCCUACGGGAGGCAGCAGUGGGGAAUUUUGGACAAUGGGCGAAAGCCUGAUCCAGCAAUGCCGCGUGCAGGAAGAAGGCCU